CAGUAUUUGACAAGUGCAAGCUAAGGACCCUUUCGCUUUUCUCCAGUUGCUUCUUCUUUCGCUAUCCAAAGCUGUAUCUAAACAAACAAGAAUUGAAAGGAAUCCUAUUCGCAUUGUCGCCAAAAAUAUAAGAACAAAUCCACUACAAAGCUGUACGUAGUUUUCAUAUACCAUAUCAACUAUCUAUCUAUUCUCUCCCUCUCUCUUUCUUCUUUUCUCUUUUUACUUCUAAUUAGGAGUUUAUCGGACAUGAAUGAGCCACCAAAAUAUGGUUAUCCAUACCCCUCUCAAGGUCAAGGAUAUUAUCAGGGGCCUCCUCCUCCAGUGAUGGCGCCACCAACAUAUGCAGCUGCUCCUCCACCUCAGAAAAACAGAGGUUUUCUUGAAGGAUGCCUAGCAGCUCUGUGUUGUUGUUGCCUGAUAGAUGAGUGUUGCUGUGAUCCCUCUAUCCUCUGUCUGUGGUAAGGUGUUCGGGCUGCCAAUUUCAGUUACUGCUUCUGCUUUUUACCAAAAUAAUAAGAAUUGUAAUUUAAAUAAGUUCUUUAGGAACAGGGAGUUUAUCGUCUUGUAAUUAUCUUCUUUUAAUUAUUGAACUCUUUUUUGUUCUCAGAGAGAGUUACCAUUUCAUUAA